GUCUUGGCCUGUUCUUUGAUUACUUGGCUGUGCAGGUCUUGGGUGCUCUGAUCUAAAAAGAAACAAAAUAUUCUGUAACACUGGCAGAUACUUGCAAACUGAGGGGAAGGAGCUUCCCUUAAAAUGCAUAUGAAGGAGAGACCACCAUGCUAUAGAUUCACAAGAAUCAAGACCAAGCAGCUAAGCAGCCUGGAUUGAAGCAUUACUAGCAUCGCCAGGCAGCGCUUCUGUUGCCAUGGCAACUACGUACUGGCCAAAUGCCAGGUAACAUGAGGACCAACUGCUAUGACUGCUCUUUCCACACCAGAGUUGACGGCUGAACUACUGUGCACUGAUUAACAGUAUGUGUCCACUGAUGGUAGACUAAUUUUGACCUAAGAAAUAAUCUUGAUGCAUAAAACUUACAACUAACUGAGAAUUGUAACAAAUAUAACUAGAAAUCUGA